GACGAACGCUGGCGGCGUGCUUAACACAUGCAAGUCGAGCGGUAAGGCCUCUUCGGGGGUACACGAGCGGCGAACGGGUGAGUAACACGUGGGUGACCUGCCCUCAGCUCUGGGAUAAGCCUGGGAAACUGGGUCUAAUACCGGAUAUGACCACAUGUUGCAUGGUGUGUGGUGGAAAGUUUUUUCGGCUGGGGAUGGGCCCGCGGCCUAUCAGCUUGUUGGUGGGGUGAUGGCCUACCAAGGCGACGACGGGUAGCCGGCCUGAGAGGGCGAUCGGCCACACUGGGACUGAGACACGGCCCAGACUCCUACGGGAGGCAGCAGUGGGGAAUAUUGCGCAAUGGGCGGAAGCCUGACGCAGCGACGCCGCGUGGGGGAUGACGGCCUUCGGGUUGUAAACCUCUUUCGACCGGGACGAAGCGUAAGUGACGGUACCGGUAGAAGAAGCACCGGCCAACUACGUG
rnacentral:rRNA from 1 species